rnacentral:lncRNA from 1 species
UGAGUCUCUAUUUUCAGACUUGGGCAAACUCUACUCCUCAAUUUGUGGAAAAAUCUCAGUAUUGAUCUAUGCAUGACCAGUGCAAAGGCUUUUAUAUGGACCAACCCCAGUCAGAAAGCAGGCACUUGGAAACCUCGUGUCUGUGAAGAACAAGGGGUGGAACCUCUGAAAUCCUCCCCUUUGAGAUUUCCCAUGCAUUCACACAUCCUUCUGUGUGCCUUGAAAAUGUAAGAAACAGAUGUGGGCAAGAGGCAGCCAGAAGACUCCGGCACAGGCCCUGCAACCUAUCUGCUCACAUCCUGCUUGGGAGACAUGUCAGCGAUAAACUCCAGGAGUAGUCACGAGGGCUGACAGGGGUUCCUGCCCGGCUCUGCAUCCAACAGCCUGGUGGAGCCUAGGCUAAGUCUACAAAAAUACGGAGCUCAGAGCUCCUACCUAGAUUUCUUUGCUUUAUUCAGGCAGAAUUGACAAAUUAAAAGCAGGUCCAUGGAGAAGGUGGAACACUGGACUAAAGAGACAGGCUGAGGAAGCCCUCAAGUCACCCCUGAUGGAGGCCAGACCUUGAAUGUUACAAUCCCUCUGCUUAUCGACCCUUAAUAAAAAUCUGAGCAGGUCUUCUCUGCAGGACACAGGAGGCUUUCUGGAAAAAAAAACAUGGAAAAGUGAGUCUCCUAAGCGUUCCCAAGUGAUUGAUGCAGGACACAUCUUAAAAGGAUGAAAGGAGGAUGGAGGAAAACUUCAGAAGGAAAUAACACAGUUUGAAUGAAAACACCUAUUUUGCAGAAAGUCCGGAAGUGCUCGACCAAGAGAUCGCGAGAUGGGAGCAGAGAGUACAGGAAAGGAAGGAGGAGAAAGAAAGGCUGGAAACCUUUGAAUGCACAAAAAAAACAGGUCAUGAAAGAUACCACGAGCCAACUAAAAUCUCUGGCUGAAAAUGUGCUGGACACCAUGCAGUUGGAAGAUUUCACUAGGGACCGCAGUGAUGAGGGGAACUUGGAAGCAGAGCUAAAGAGGAAAGCAGAAAAUGAAGAAACCACCCCCUUAAAAAUUAAGUAAAUUUUUUUAAAGUUAUGUGCAUACAUUCUGUAUAUACAGAAAAGAUAUCUAAAUUGUAUGCACGCAGAAGGAGCAUUGCCCCCACAAGGAACAGUUCAUGCUAAAUGGUGCAGAUGAAGAGACUUUGACAAAGGAAGUUUCCUGAGCUGUGGGCAGGGAUGAGAGCUCAGACAAAUGAUGGGAAGCCUCCCAGAUGCCAAGGUUUCCCACCCCCAGGUUUCAAGGGAGGAGAGAGGAAGUGAUGUCAUCUGAGCCCAGUGAGGCCCUGUCAAGGGACCAGGGAAAACUGCCCCCACUUUUUGCUCCCAUCCUCUCAUUGACUGCAGGUGCACAGGCAGCUGCCUGAAAGAGGGCCUGCGAAGUGCAAGCCAGAGGAGUUGGCCUCCAUGGCACAGAGCAGGCAGAAAACAAAUUUGGAGAAUGACCAGCACUCUUGGGUUUAUUUGACUGAAAGUGCUUGUUUUAUUGCAUUCACUCACAUCCAUUUAUU